UUUUAAGUGUGGGGUUCUGGGAGAGGGAGGCGAGCAGUCUGUCCUGAAAAUAAAUACUAAAUCAUAAUUAACUUGUUGCAUGAGACGUAAAUGAUUUAUGUAUUUGUUUUAUCGUAUGGGUUGUAUAUACUUUCAAAGAAAUUACAGAAGAGGCUUACAAAAGGGAAGAUGAAAACAAAGGAGGACCUUCACGUGAUGUCAUUGCACCUGAGGAUUUGUUUACGCGGCCAUGUUGCCUGGCCAGCUUCUUGUUUGACAGCGACCAGCACAAGGGUCCACAAGUUAGUGACGGGAAGUUCGGCUCUUUUCAGAGAGCCGGCUCUUGUGGCACGGCUCCCAAGUGGCUCUUAAUUUAUCAUCAUCUUUUGGCUGCUCCCGAUUAGGGGUCGCCACAGCAGAUCUUUCGUCUCCAUUGCUCCCUGUCUUCUGCAUCCUUCUCUACCACACCUGCCCCUUUCAUGUCCUCUCUCACCACAUCCAUGUAUCUCCUCUUUGGCCUUCCUCGUUUUCGUUUGCCUGGCAGCUCCAUCCUCAACAUUCUUCUUCUUCUUUUGGCUGCUCCCGAUUAGGGGUCGCCACAGCAGAUCUUUCGUCUCCAUUGCUCCCUGUCUUCCGCAUCCUUCUUUACCACACCUGCCACUUUUCAUGUCCUCUCUCACCACAUCCAUGUAUCUCCUCUUUGGCCUUCUUCAUUUUCAUGUGCCUGGCAGCUCCAUCCUCAACAUUCUCCUUCCCACAUGCUCUGCAUCUCUUCUCAGGACGCGCCCAUACCAUCUCAGUCUCAUCUCUCUUAGCUUAAUUCCCAAGCUCUCCACAUGUGCUGUCCCUCUGAUGUGCUCGUUCCUUAUCCUGUCCAAACUUGUCACUCCCAUCGCAAACCUUAGCAUCCUUGACUCCACCACCUCCAACUUUGCCUCCUGUCUCUUUGUUAAGGGUACGAUCUGCAAUCCAUACAUCACAGCUGGUCUUAAUUUAUUAUCAUCUGUAGCCUCAUAUUUUAGCCUAACUUGGCAAAUAUGAAUGGUUUGUGUGUUGAUAAACCCUUUUGCAUUGAGUUGCAGUUGGAGGGGUUAUACUUGCACUACUCGUAGCUGCUGCAGCAGUUGUUGGUUUGGGACCAGACACACCAGGGUCAGUAGACAUUGCAUCAGCUUGCCCUCUCUCCUCCAACUGCACUGUGGGAUGGACAGUUCUGAUGUAUCUGUGCAGAUCCCUUUGCUGAUGCAACGAAGGAUGACAACUUGCUCCCAGUUGGGACGGAGGAUAAGAUCCACAUAAAGACUCAACAAUGAACUGGGGACAAGAUACUAACUACAAUGGAAGGAAUUGCAGAUGAUUAUGACAAGAAAAAGCUUGUGAAAGCCUUCAAAAAGGAAUUUGCCUGUGAUGGUCCUGUGAUCAGGUACCCUGAAUAUGGUGAGGUGAUCCAGUUGAAAGGCGACCAAAGAAAAAAAAUAUUUGCCAGUUUCUGAUUGAGAUAAACACUGUGAAGGAAGAACAGUUGACGGUCCGUGGCUUUUAAAAUGAUGGGCUUUCUAGAGGAUCGAGGUCACAGUGGUUUUUAAGACCACAGAAUUGAAUAGGGCGAUUAUUUUCUGACCAUAUGCAAUGGCCAUCUAUACCCGUCAGCCUUAACAUUAAAAAUCACUGACAGGUGAAGUGAAUAACUUUUGAUUAUUUUGUUACAAUGGCAUCUGUCAAGGGGUGGGAUAUAUUCGGCAGCAAGUGAAGUCAGUUCUCGAAGUUGAUGUGUUGGAAGCAAGAAAAAUGGGCAAGCGUAAGGAUCUGAGUGACUUUGACAAGGGCCAAAUUGUGAUGGCUAGAAGACUGGGCCAGAGCAUCUCCAAAACAGCAGCUCUUGUGGGGUGUUCCCGGUCUGCAGUGGUUAGUACCUAUCAAAAGUGGUCCAAGGAAGGACAACUGGUGAACCGACGACAAGGUCAUGGGCGCCCAAGGCUCAUUGAUGCAUGUGGGGAGAGAACAAUAGCCCAUUUGGUCCAGUCCCACAAAAAAGCUACUGUAGCACAAAUUGCUGAAAAAGUUAAUGCUGUCUGUGAUAGAAAGGUGUCUGAACACACAGUGCAUCGCAGCUUGCUGCGUAUGGGGCUGCGUAGACGCAAACCGGCCAGAGUGUCCAUGCUGACCCCUGACCACUGCUGUGAACAAUGGCCAAGUGAGCAUCAGAACUGGACCCUGGAGCAAUGGAAGAGAAUGGAGGGGUUGGCAACUGUCUUGAAGUCUCUCCAUUUGUGAACAGACCUUUUCACUGCAGAAUGGUGAAUUUCAAAUUGUUUGGAGAUGGCCUUAUAAACCUUACUAAAUUAACGAGCAGCAACAUUUUAUGCUUGAAACAAUUCUCUUCCACUGGUUUCCCACAGGGCUGCAUCCUUUCACCAUUGCUUUUUAUCUUCUACACAAAUGAUUGUAGGAGUCACUCUGUAUCAUCAGUAAAUUUCAGUCAUUGUGAGUCUUUUAAAUAACCAUGUGAUUGGGCAUGGUCCUGUAGAUGAUGACUUCAGUGCUUGGUGCAAAGAUUUUUAACUAUCAAUAAACGUGUUCAAGACUAAAGACAUGAUUUUCACAGGUCACAGCCUGGUGUGACACACAUGCAGUUGUUCAGGAGAAAGAUGUUGAGAUUGCUUCUCAUUAUAAAUAUUUGGGAAACAUUAUUGACAAUACAUUGUUUUGAACCCGACACUGACCCUGUUUGUAAAAUGGUCCAGCAGCGGCUUUUCUUUCUAAGAAAGAUGAAGUCGUUUAGCGUGCGUAACGUUUUAAUGAGUUUGUUUUAUCAGUGUUUUGCAUUGUGGCUUGGUACCGUACAAUAGUCUUACCAGUGUCCAGUAAAAAUAGGCUAGCAAAAUUGGUCAAAGUGGUGAGAAAUGUAACUGGGGUGCAGCAAGCCUGGCUGCAGGAUAUCUGUAGUAAGCGCGUCACCAGUAAGGCUCAACAAAUACUUAAUUGCCCUGAUCAUCCACUUUUUAAAGUGUUUAGUCUCCUUCCUUCUGGCCGCCAUUUUCGAAUGCUGAGAGUAAAUACAAGGUGUGCCAGAACUACUUUUAUUCCUGUGGCCAUUAAGCAGCUUAAUUUAGUUGGCUAACUUGUUUCUUUUAUGUGUAGCUUGUGAGAUAGCUUUGGAUUUUUUAUUUUUCAUACCCGGAUUAUUAUUAUUUUAUCUGUUGUCAUUUGUUUACUGUGCUGUUUUUAAUGUUUUAGUUUCUGGUUCAGUGUGGUAGGAGUACCUUUGUUUGUGUGUUGUGGAAUAUGUCUGUUUAUAUCUGCUGUGUUUUUAUACCUCUUGUUUUUAAUGUAUCUUGACAUGUCUUGAUGUCUGCUGCAGACUAAAUU